rnacentral:lncRNA from 1 species
UAAAUUCUCAGGGGAAGAUUACAGCUGCUGCAUGCAACUACCUUCAACCCCAUAGCCUCCCUUAUUCCGGUCCGAAAUUUCAGCUAAUACGUGGCAAAAUUUCAACUUUGUUUUCCACUAUAGCAAUAUAGCCUCUUAAUCUUUGAAAAUAAUCUGGGAGCAGAGGGUGCCAAUUGAAGUUCAUUGCUUGAUUUUUCUAGCAACUAAACCCGCAUAUCCAGC